rnacentral:rRNA from 1 species
CCGACUCCUACGGGAGGCAGCAGUGGGGAAUAUUGCACAAUGGGGGAAACCCUGAUGCAGCGACGCCGCGUGAGUGAAGAAGUAUUUCGGUAUGUCAAGCUCUAUCAGCAGGGAAGAUAAUGACGGUACCUGACUAAGAAGCCCCGGCUAACUACGUGCCAGCAGCCGCGGUAAUACGUAGGGGGCAAGCGUUAUCCGGAUUUACUGGGUGUAAAGGGAGCGUAGACGGCAGCGCAAGUCUGAAGUGAAAUGCCGGGGCUUAACCCCGGAACUGCUUUGGAAACUGUGCAGCUAGAGUGCAGGAGAGGUAAGUGGAAUUCCUAGUGUAGCGGUGAAAUGCGUAGAUAUUAGGAGGAACACCAGUGGCGAAGGCGGCUUACUGGACUGUAACUGACGUUGAGGCUCGAAAGCGUGGGGAGCAAACAGGAUUAGAUACCCCAGUAAA